rnacentral:rRNA from 1 species
GACGAACCGUACGAACGUUAUUCGGAAUUACUGGGCUUAAAGGGUGCGUAGGCGGCGCUGAAAGUUGGGUGUGAAAUCCCUCGGCUCAACCGAGGAACUGCGCUCAAUACUACAGUGCUCGAGGGAGAUAGAGGUAAGCGGAACUUAGGGUGGAGCGGUGAAAUGCGUUGAUAUCCUAAGGAACACCUGUGGCGAAAGCGGCUUACUGGAUCUCUUCUGACGCUGAGGCACGAAAGCUAGGGUAGCGAAC